GACAGAGGAUGCAAGCGUUAUCCGGAAUGAUUGGGCGUAAAGCGUCUGUAGGUGGCUUUUUAAGUCCGCCGUCAAAUCCCAGGGCUCAACCCUGGACAGGCGGUGGAAACUACCAAGCUGGAGUACGGUAGGGGCAGAGGGAAUUUCCGGUGGAGCGGUGAAAUGCGUAGAUAUCGGAAGGAACGCCGGUGGCGAAAGCGACGUGCUGGACCCCUUCUGACGCUGAGGCGCGAAAGCCAGGGGAGCAAACGGG
rnacentral:rRNA from 1 species